rnacentral:rRNA from 1 species
AACGAACGCUGGCGGCAGGCCUAACACAUGCAAGUCGAGCGUCCCGCAAGGGGAGCGGCGGACGGGUGAGUAACGCGUGGGAACGUACCCUCUGCUACGGAAUAGCCUCGGGAAGCUGGGAGUAAUACCGUAUGUGCCCUUCGGGGAAAGAUUAUCGGCAAAGGAUUGGCCCGCGUUGGAUUAGGUAGUUGGUGGGGUAAUGGCCUACCAAGCCGACGAUCCAUAGCUGGUUUGAGAGGAUGAUCAGCCACACUGGGACUGAGACACGGCCCAGACUCCUACGGGAGGCAGCAGUGGGGAAUCUUAGACAAUGGGCGCAAGCCUGAUCUAGCCAUGCCGCGUGAGCGAUGAAGGCCUUAGGGUUGUAAAGCUCUUUCAGUGGGGAAGAUAAUGACUGUACCCACAGAAGAAGCCCCGGCUAACUCCGU